rnacentral:misc_RNA from 1 species
GUGCAUAGAUUUGGAUGGAAAUGGUGUGUUGACACCCAAUGAAAUGCAAUUCUUCUAUGAGGAGCAGUUGCACCGUAUGGAGUGCAUGGCCCAGGAGCCUGUGCUAUUUGAGGAUAUCUUGUGUCAAAUAGUUGAUAUGAUUGCACCAGAGGCAAACACCUGAUUCUUUCUGAUGCUCGCUCUCCUUUUUGUGUUAGAUUUAUCUGGGGUGAUGAAAUUUUAUUUGCAGGCUGAAGAUUAUAUAACACUGCAUGACUUGAAAACAAGCAAGCUCUCGGGAAAUGUUUUCAAUAUUCUGUUCAAUCUCAAUAAGUUCAUGGCUUUUGAAAGCCGUGAUCCAUUUCUAAUUCGCCAGGAACACGAGGAACCAACUUUGACAGAGUGGGAUCGCUUUGCA